rnacentral:rRNA from 1 species
ACCUCGCAUGGGGGACUGUCUAAAGGUGGGGAUCUUCGGACCUGCCGCUUUGGGAUGCGCCCGCGGCCCAUCAGCUUGUUGGUGAGGUAACGGCUCACCAAGGCUACAACGGGUAGCUGGUCUGAGAGGAUGGUCAGCCACACUGGGACUGAGACACUGCCCAGACUCCUACGGGAGGCUGCAGUCGAGAAUCAUUGUCAAUGCGCGAAAGCGUGAACAUGCGACGCCGCGUGGAGGAUGAAGGCCUUCGGGUUGUAAACUCCUGUCAUGAGGGAAAAACAGUCUGGUCGUGAAUAGCGGCCGGAUCUGAUGGUACCUCAAGAGGAAGCCACGGCUAACUCUGUGCCAGCAGCCGCGGUAAUACAGAGGUGGCGAGCGUUGCUCGGAUUUACUGGGCGUAAAGGGUGCGUAGGCGGUUCUGUGUGUCGGGUGUGAAAUCUCACCGUCCAACGGUGAAACUGCAUUCGAAACUGCAGAACUCGAGUACAGGAGGGGAGAGCGGGACUUUUGGUGUAGCGGUGAAAUGCGUAGAUAUCAAAAAGAACGCCGGUGGCGAAGGCGGCUCUCUGGACUGAUACUGACGCUGAGGCACGAAAGCUGGGGGAGCGAACGGGAUUAGAUACCCUGGUAGUCCCAGCCGUAAACGUUGUGCACUUGGUGUGGGCCGGAUUGCCCCGGUCUGUGCCGGAGCUAACGCGUUAAGUGCACCGCCUGGGGAGUACGGCCGCAAGGCUAAAACUCAAAGGAAUUGACGGGGGCCCGCACAAGCGGUGGAGCAUGUGGCUUAAUUCGAUGCAACGCGAAGAACCUUACCUGGGCUUGACAUGCAGGUAGUACGAAUCCGAAACGAUGAGGACCCUUCGGGGAGCCUGCACAGGUGCUGCAUGGCUGUCGUCAGCUCGUGCCGUGAGGUGUUGGGUUAAGUCCCGCAACGAGCGCAACCCUUGUGGUUAGUUGCCCCUUCCGUCGAGAGGCGGGAAGCACUCUAACCAGACUGCCCGUGACAAGCGGGAGGAAGGUGGGGAUGACGUCAAGUCAGUAUGGUCCUUACGCCCAGGGCUGCACACGUGCUACAAUGGUUGGUACAGAGCGAAGCAAAACCGCGAGGUGGAGCAAAUCGCUAAAACCAGCCUAAGUUCGGAUUGGAGUCUGCAACUCGACUCCAUGAAGCUGGAAUCGCUAGUAAAGGCGUAUCAGCUAC